rnacentral:lncRNA from 1 species
GAAGGAGCCAUGAAGGAAGAGCCCAAGAGGAGAUCAGUGCCGUUGGCAGCUAAAGCUUCUCCUGCAAAAGUGGAAAUGAAGCCGGAAAAGGCAGCAAAGGACAAAUCUUCAGACAAAAAAUUGCAAACAAAAGGGGAAAGAGGAGCAAAGGGAAAACAGGCCGACGUGGGUAAUCAAGAAACUAAAGAUUUACUUCAGAAAACGGAAAAACUAAAAUCGAGGAGAGUCCAGCCUCUGAAGCUGCAGAGAAAGAAGCCAAGUCU